GCUGUAGCUCAGUGGCAGAGCAUCUGCUCUGAAUGCAGAAGGCCCCAAGUUCAAUCCCUGGCAUCUCUG